AUUGAACGCUGGCGGCAGGCUUAACACAUGCAAGUCGAGCGAGCGGCGGACGGGUGAGUAAUGUCUGGGAACCUGCCUGAUGGAGGGGGAUAACUACUGGAAACGGUAGCUAAUACAGCAUACCAUCAGAUGUGCCCAGAUGGGAUUAUCUAGGAGGUGGGGUAAUGGCUCACCUAGGCGACGAUCCCUAGCUGGUCUGAGAGGAUGACCAGCCAGACUGGAACUGAGACACGGUCCAGACUCCGACGUGAGGAAGCAGUGGGGAAUAUUGCGCAAUGGGCGCAAGCCUGAUGCAGCCAUGCCGCGUGUAUGAAGAAGGCCUUCGGGUUGUAAAGGACUUUCAGCGAGGAGGCGUUACUCGCAGAAGAAGCACCGGCUAAGUCCGUGCCAGCGGCCGCGGUAAUUC
rnacentral:rRNA from 1 species